ACCACUAUCCCUUUUCUUUCUAUCCCCUUCAUUACUCCCCAAUAAUCUCGCCGACGUCGUUAAGAUCUGCUUCGCUCUCUUAAAGACCAGAUCUCACACCUUCGUUCUCUGUCGUCGUCGUUAAACUCGCCGUCGCCGAUAACCAAACGCAAAUUACCGGAAAGACAGAUGAAUAGGAAAACUAGAAUAAAAAAAGAUGGAAG
rnacentral:lncRNA from 1 species